rnacentral:lncRNA from 1 species
CUAAUUCAUUGUUCCCGAGUUCCACUUCCACUCUCCUGUCUCCGUCGGCCUCGACUUUGUACUUUUCAAUCUGCCGCCCAGGGAAGAUUCCACAAUACGAACCCUAGACGUAAGUCAGGUAGCACCUUCAAGCCCUUGAACUUCUCGAGACGCGGCAGCCGGCUGCAGCCCUUCGAAUCUACAUUUCCACCAACAAUUCGACGGCAGAAGAAGAAGGUGAAGCCCCUUGAUUCUGAUUCCUAAACCGCUCUUAAGUCUUCUUAACUUUUUUCUGUUAGUUACUUAUUUUGCUUUGUGUUUUGUGUACUGUUGUAAUUUCUUCUUUUUAACAUAUGAAAUUACUUUUGAAUUGCUUGAAGUUUUGAAUUGGUAUUGAAUUACUUUUGAAUUGCUUUUGAAAUUAGACCUAGAAGCCCCAAGCUUGUGAAGCCCUUGAGCCUAAUUCGAUGAGUCUUGAAGUUUGCUCAAGUCUCGAUGUAUUCUGUGACUAGGAGUGUGACUGUUAGUUUGCUUACUCCAUCUCUGUGACUGAAGCGUGUUUCCAUUCCAUAUUGCUAAAUGCUAAUGCUACCUCUCUGUGACUAUGAAAGCAUUUUGUAAUUCUGUGACUAUGAGUUGCUAAUUGCUUACUCUGUGAAUUGAUUCUAGAUUUUCCAGUAAUUAUUGCUAUUUGAAUUGCAC